UACGUAGGGACCAAGCGUUGUUCGGAUUUACUGGGCGUAAAGGGCGCGUAGGCGGCGCGGUAAGUCACUUGUGAAAUCUCUGAGCUUAACCCAGAACGGCCAAGUGAUACUGCAGUGCUAGAGUGUGGAAGGGGCAAUCGGAAUUCUUGGUGUAGCGGUGAAAUGCGUAGAUAUCAGGAGGAACACCUGAGGUGAAGACGGGUUGCUGGGCCAACACUGACGCUGAGGCGCGAAAGCCAGGGGAGCAAACGGG
rnacentral:rRNA from 1 species